rnacentral:lncRNA from 1 species
UUUACUGUAACUUAUCUUCUAAUGGAUAUUGAGUGACAUUUUCAUUUUCAAUCUUUUUGGAGAGGGAAGCCUCUUGUUAGUAGUCAAUUUUUUAAUCACAUCGAGGAGGCUAACAAGAACUUGUUGAGGCUAUUGGUUUUAGUUUCAGUUGAUUCAUCUGUGAGGCAUAGAUAUAACUGAGCUGUCCAUUCAGUACAAGAGUGUCGACUUUCUUUUUCUGAUUCUUUACUAAAACCUCCUCCUGAAACAGUCGUUGAAAUUUGAGUUGUCUCCAUUUCUGCGUCAUGUAUAGCAUGUCAACAACAACAACAACCCAGUAUAAUCCCACUUAGUGGGGUCUGGGGAGGGUAGUGUGUACGCAGAACUUAUCCCUACCCCUGGGUAGAGAGGCUGUUUCCAAAUAGACCCCCGGCAUCCUUCCCUCCAAUAACUUCCCACCUUGCUCUUGGGGAUAUCGAACUCACAACCUCUCGGUUGGAAGUGGGGGUUGCUUACCAUCAUACCUUUGGGUAGAGAGGCUGUUUCCAAAUAGACCCCCAGCAUCCUUCCUCCAAGAACUUCCCACCUUGCUCUUGGGAGACUCGAACUCAUAACCUCUUGGUUGGAAGUG